rnacentral:rRNA from 1 species
CCUACGGGUGGCUGCAGUGAGGAAUAUUGGUCAAUGGUCGCGAGACUGAACCAGCCAAGUAGCGUGAAGGAUGACGGCCCUGCGGAUUGUAAACUUCUUUUAUCAGGGAAUAAAGUGUGGCACGUGUGCCUUUUUGUGUGUACUUUAUGAAUAAGGAUCGGCUAACUCCGUGCCAGCAGCCGCGGUAAUACGGAGGAUCCGAGCGUUAUCCGGAUUUAUUGGGUUUAAAGGGAGCGUAGAUGGGUUGUUAAGUCAGGUGUGAAAGUUUGCGGCUCAACCGUAAAAGUGCAAUUGAUACUGGCAGCCUUGAGUACAGUUGAGGUAGGUGGAAUUCGUGGUGUAGCGGUGAAAUGCUUAGAUAGCACGAAGAACUCCGAUUGCGAAGGCAGCCUACUAAAUCGCCACUGACAUUGAUGCACGAAAGUGUGGGUAUCAAACAGGAUUAGAUACCCCGGUAGUC